rnacentral:rRNA from 1 species
GGUCAAGCGAACAAGUGCAUGUGGUGGAUGCCUUGGCGAUCACAGGCGAUGAAGGACGCGGUAGCCUGCGAAAAGCUCCGGGGAGCUGGCAAACGAGCAUUGAUCCGGAGAUGUCCGAAUGGGGAAACCCACUCCUAAUGGAGUAUCCGCAGCUGAAUCCAUAGGCUGCGUGAAGCGAACGCGGUGAACUGAAACAUCUAAGUAACCGCAGGAAAAGAAAUCAACCGAGAUUCCCAAAGUAGUGGCGAGCGAAAUGGGAUCAGCCUGUACUCUUUAUUCUCAUUGUUAGUCGAACGCUCUGGAAAGUGCGGCCAUAGCAGGUGAUAGCCCUGUAGACGAAAACAGCGGGAAAGAACUGGGUGUACGAGAAGUAGGGCGGGACACGUGAAAUCCUGUCUGAAGAUGGGGGGACCAUCCUCCAAGGCUAAAUACUCGUGAUCGACCGAUAGUGAACCAGUACCGUGAGGGAAAGGCGAAAAGAACCCCGGGAGGGGAGUGAAACAGAUCCUGAAACCGCAUGCAUACAAACAGUCGGAGCCUCUGCGAAGGGGUGACGGCGUACCUUUUGUAUAAUGGGUCAGCGACUUACAUUCAGUGGCGAGCUUAACCGAUUAGGGCAGGCGUAGCGAAAGCGAGUCCGAACAGGGCGUCCAGUCGCUGGGUGUAGACCCGAAACCAGGUGAUCUAUCCAUGGCCAGGUUGAAGGCACGGUAACACGUGCUGGAGGACCGAACCCACUAACGUUGAAAAGUUAGGGGAUGAGCUGUGGAUAGGGGUGAAAGGCUAAACAAACCUGGAAAUAGCUGGUUCUCUCCGAAAACUAUUUAGGUAGUGCCUCGUGUAUCACCUUCGGGGGUAGAGCACUGUCAUGGUUGUGGGGUCCAUUGCGGAUUACUACGCCAUAGCAAACUCCGAAUACCGAAGAGUGCAAUCACGGGAGACAGACAUCGGGUGCUAACGUCCGGUGUCAAGAGGGAAACAACCCAGACCGCCAGCUAAGGUCCCCAAAUAUGGCUAAGUGGGAAACGAAGUGGGAAGGCUAAAACAGUCAGGAGGUUGGCUUAGAAGCAGCCACCCUUUAAAGAAAGCGUAAUAGCUCACUGAUCGAGUCGUCCUGCGCGGAAGAUGUAACGGGGCUAAGCCAUAUACCGAAGCUGCGGAUGCACAGUAAUGUGCAUGGUAGGAGAGCGUUCCGUAAGCCUGCGAAGGUGCACUGGAAAGUGUGCUGGAGGUAUCGGAAGUGCGAAUGCUGACAUGAGUAGCGAUAAAGGGGGUGAAAGGCCCCCUCGCCGUAAGCCCAAGGUUUCCUACGCAACGUUCAUCGGCGUAGGGUGAGUCGGCCCCUAAGGCGAGGCAGAAAUGCGUAGCUGAUGGGAAGCAGAUUAAUAUUUCUGCACCAUUGUGAAAUGCGAUGGGGGGACGGAUCGCGGAAGGUUGUCCGGGUGUUGGAAGUCCCGGUCCUUGCAUUGGAGAAGGCGCUUUGGCAAAUCCGGGCGCGUAAUUCAAGGGUGCGAGGCGAGCCACUUCGGUGGCGAAGCAACUGGAAGGGGUUCCAGGAAAAGCCUCUAAGCUUCAGUUUCACAGUGACCGUACCGCAAACCGACACAGGUGGGCGAGAUGAGUAUUCUAAGGCGCUUGAGAGAACUCGGGAGAAGGAACUCGGCAAAUUGGUACCGUAACUUCGGGAUAAGGUACGCCCUGGUAGCCUGACUGGCCUGCGCCAGAAGGGUGAAGGGGUUGCAAUAAACUGGUGGCUGCGACUGUUUAAUAAAAACACAGCACUCUGCAAACACGAAAGUGGACGUAUAGGGUGUGACGCCUGCCCGGUGCCGGAAGAUUAAAUGAUGGGGUGCAAGCUCCUGAUUGAAGUCCCGGUAAACGGCGGCCGUAACUAUAACGGUCCUAAGGUAGCGAAAUUCCUUGUCGGGUAAGUUCCGACCUGCACGAAUGGCGUAACGAUGGCCACACUGUCUCCUCCCGAGACUCAGCGAAGUUGAAGUGUUUGUGAUGAUGCAAUCUCCCCGCGGCUAGACGGAAAGACCCCAUGAACCUUUACUGUAGCUUUGCAUUGGACUUUGAACCGGUCUGUGUAGGAUAGGUGGGAGGCUAUGAAGCGUGGACGCCAGUCUGCGUGGAGCCGUCCUUGAAAUACCACCCUGAUCUGUUUGAGGUUCUAACCUUGGCCCGUGAUCCGGGUCGGGGACCGUGCAUGGUAGGCAGUUUGACUGGGGCGGUCUCCUCCCAAAGUGUAACGGAGGAGUACGAAGGUACGCUAGGUACGGUCGGAAAUCGUGCUGAUAGUGCAAUGGCAUAAGCGUGCUUGACUGUGAGACUGACAAGUCGAACAGGUGCGAAAGCAGGUCAUAGUGAUCCGGUGGUUCUGUAUGGAAGGGCCAUCGCUCAACGGAUAAAAGGUACUCUGGGGAUAACAGGCUGAUACCGCCCAAGAGUUCAUAUCGACGGCGGUGUUUGGCACCUCGAUGUCGGCUCAUCUCAUCCUGGGGCUGUAGCCGGUCCCAAGGGUAUGGCUGUUCGCCAUUUAAAGAGGUACGUGAGCUGGGUUUAAAACGUCGUGAGACAGUUUGGUCCCUAUCUGCCGUGGGCGCUGGAUAUUUGAAGGGGGCUGCUCCUAGUACGAGAGGACCGGAGUGGACGAACCUCUGGUGUACCGGUUGUCACGCCAGUGGCAUCGCCGGGUAGCUAUGUUCGGAAGAGAUAACCGCUGAAAGCAUCUAAGCGGGAAACUCGCCUUAAGAUGAGAUAUCCCCGGGGCUUCGAGCCCCUUGAAGGGUCGUUCAAGACCAGGACGUUGAUAGGUCAGGUGUGCACGUACAGUAAUGUACUGAGCUAACUGAUACUAAUUGCCCGUAAGGCUUGAUCCU